rnacentral:rRNA from 1 species
UGGGGAAUAUUGCGCAAUGGGGGAAACCCUGACGCAGCGACGCCGCGUGGGUGAUGAAGGCCUUCGGGUCGUAAAGCCCUGUCGUAGGGAAAGAACUGGUUGCAGGCUAAUAUCCUGCAGCCUUGACGGUACCCUACAAGAAAGCACCGGCUAACUCCGUGCCAGCAGCCGCGGUAAUACGUAGGCAGCGAACGUUGUUCGGAGUUACUGGGCGUAAAGAGUGCGUAGGCGGUUCGCUAAGUCUGGUGUGAAAUCUCCCGGCUUAACUGGGAGGGUGCGCUAGAUACUGGCGGGCUUGAGUAUGGGAGAGGAAAGCGGAAUUCCUGGUGUAGCGGUGAAAUGCGUAGAUAUCAGGAGGAACACCGGUGGUGUAGACGGCUUUCUGGACCAUUACUGACGCUGAGGCACGAAAGCGUGGGGAGCAAACAGGAUUAGAUACCCAAGUAGUCCCUGAGCGGGCUGGCAAGGCGCAU